rnacentral:lncRNA from 1 species
UUGUUGCCUUGAAGUUAUUUUCGGCGGAAAAAAAAAAUGAAAGAGCUCAGAUUACACCAUAGGUUGUGUGGUGGAAAAAAAGGGGGGGAAAAAAAGGGGGGAGGAAAAUCCCAUCUUUUUCAGAAAUAUUUUAAUGCUCCCCCUAAUAGUCCUAGGAGUACCUGCCUCCUUUCACAUUCUGUGAUUUUCCCGCAGAGGAAGCACCGACCAAGAAAUUCUUCUGUACACCCCACCAAACCAAACCCAUUCCAAGGCUGGUCAGAGGUGUUCACUACAAGGAACUGGAGAAAACAGGAUGUUUUGCUUCUCUCCCAGGCCUGUGCUCUACCAGUCUGACCUGCUUAUCCUCCUUUCCUUUUCUGCUAUUCAGGAACCAGGGCUCCAGAGCUCUACAGCCACAGGAAGCACUGCUGGGGAGGAGGAUUGCUUCCCUGGCUCCCGCAGCUUGGACACCAGCAUGAGGCAAUCAGGAGGGUAAUCAAGGAGAAAGGUAUACAGGAAUUGCCACAGGAACAUUGUGUCUUACUAGGAGUUCCCAGCGCUACUGAAAUUCAGAGUCUGUGUUUUCUCAAAACAUCUUGAAAGAGAGCUGAAGUGUAAGCAAACACAGAAUCUUUACUGGCUUUCCUAGAUUCUGCUUCUUGCUCCUCUUCCCUUAAAAUAUUUUGGAUCGAGUAGCAGAUCCAGCUCUGCAGUCUGCACUUGAGGAUGUGGCACACUAGCAAGGUUGGUGGCUUUGUGAAUGCACCGAGCUUUUAACAUGUGAAAGGCAAGGAAUAUUCAUUCCGGCUCCCCCCGGGCACCAGGGGUGUGGAGCCUGCCUCUGAUUCUUUCUGGCUCCUGGAAUUUUGCAUUUCUGUGUCAGCUGGGCCUCCCUGCCCGCACCCCUUGAGGGCUGAGCACAGAAAAUCUUGUGCAAGCAGCUGGAGCUGCAGCGUUUUGGUUCUGUGUGAUCCAACUGUCUAUGGCUUCGGUGUCGUUCUGAUCGCUCCAUUUUUAUCUAGAUCUGAAGUUCCUCACUGAGGAGAGUUUUUGUCUGGAAGAUACAGAUUUCCCUGGUAUUUGUUACAACUGGCUGUAUUUCGAGUAUGUCAGGCGCUUAGUCAGCUGUUCCUGCAACUGAGACUUGUUUUUCUUCUUUUUAUCCCUUUCAUGCAGUGGAAAAAGUUUCCUGCUGCUCUCCCUACUGAUAUUUGAUAUCCUAUCUCCAACUGAUGCACAUAUUUAACUUUUAAAGAACAGCAUGUCAGCUAGCUCUGCUAAAUAAGGCUCUUUCUGGUUUUGAAUUGUUUCAUUCUCUUUUGUUGUUUUGUGUUUUUGGUUUUCAGUGAAAGAUUAUUUUGGAGGUAUUAUUUCUCAGAGGAAUGACUUUUUCUA